rnacentral:rRNA from 1 species
GACGAACGCUGGCGGCGUGCCUAAUACAUGCAAGUCGAACGAACCGCGACUAAGUGCUUGCACUAAGUCAAGGUGAGUGGCGAACGGGUGAGUAACACGUGGGUAACCUACCUCAUAGUGGGGGAUAACAGUCGGAAACGACUGCUAAUACCGCAUAGGACAUAGGAUCACAUGAUCCAGUGAGGAAAGGUGGCGCAAGCUAUCGCUAAGAGAUGGACCCGCGGUGCAUUAGCUAGUUGGUAGGGUAAAGGCCUACCAAGGCGAUGAUGCAUAGCCGACCUGGGAGGGUGAUCGGCCACAUUGGGACUGAGACACGGCCCAAACUCCUACGGGAGGCAGCAGUAGGGAAUCUUCCGCAAUGGACGCAAGUCUGACGGAGCAACGCCGCGUGAGUGAAGAAGGUCUUCGGAUCGUAAAGCUCUGUUGUUAGAGAAGAACAGCGCAUAGAGUAACUGCUAUGCGUGUGACGGUAUCUAACCAGAAAGCCACGGCUAACUACGU